rnacentral:rRNA from 1 species
UGAGCUGAGAGUUUGAUCCUGGCUCAGGACGAACGCUGGCGGCGUGCUUAACACAUGCAAGUUGGACGACGAUUGCCGGAAGUAGAGAUACGGAAGGCAAAGCGGA